GCACAGGUUUUGAUAAAUCUCCCCCCAUGUGUUGUGUCAGGCAUCAAAAGCCUGAAGACGACCGGGGUCGGUAGACAGGGCGCAGAUAUCAGUGGCACCAGGAGAGCAGUGGAAAAGACGUCUAUUAAAACAUCACUACUUUGCGUAUUCCCUCUACUACAGAAAUGACAUCCUUCAGUUAUCUGAGAGAACAACUGCAUUUAUAUACCUGACUAUCACCAGAAUCAUCCUCUACGCCGUUGUCAUCAACUU